rnacentral:rRNA from 2 species
GCCUAGCCCUAAACCUUGGUAAUAUAUCACAUACCCUACCCGCCUGGGAACUACGAGCACCAGCUUAAAACCCAAAGGACUUGGCGGUGCUUUAGACCCCCCUAGAGGAGCCUGUUCUAGAACCGAUAACCCCCGUUCAACCUCACCCUUCCUUGUUUAUCCCGCCUAUAUACCGCCGUCGUCAGCUUACCCUGUGAAGGCCUAAAAGUAAGCACAACUGGCACAACCCAAAACGUCAGGUCGAGGUGUAGCGCAUGGAGGGGGAAGAAAUGGGCUACAUUCCCUAUGUUAGGGAACACGAACGGCGCACUGAAACACGCGCCUGAAGGAGGAUUUAGUAGUAAGUGGAAAAUAGCGUGUUCCACUGAAAUCGGCCCUGAAGCGCGC